rnacentral:lncRNA from 1 species
UACCUCAGUGGGACAAUCCUGAGAUGUGUUCCUCAAGUCUCUCCAAGGACCUGGUGGGACUGAGUCCUGAUUGCUCAUAGAGAAACCAGCAGGACUGGAUGUCAGUGAUUGCACCAUGCAGGAUUACAGAUUGUGCUGAGUUUAGAUUUUCUGCCUUCCUCCUCAGUUGUCAGGCUGCUAGCCAGCUCUUCCGCUCCCAUGACACCUGCCUCGAAUGCCUGCCCUUUCCAUACUACAAGACCCUUUCCAGUUCUCAGAUUAGAAUCUGCCGCAGGCUAGGA